GGGAAAAGGAUGAUACAAAACUCAAGUAUCUCCAUAAUAAGAUAAUAUCUGGAUACAAAAGAAUAACAAAAAAAGAACCAAAAGAAAAGAAGGAAACUAUUCCCUGCAUAAGCUGCUAAAAAGGCUAGUCAUCAUCGUCAUCAUCAUCAUCAUUUUCCAAAGAUAAGGUUCUGUGUCAUUGAAAUUAAUAUUGGGUGAUUGACAUAGCGGCAUUUCUCAAGUUACA
rnacentral:misc_RNA from 1 species